rnacentral:lncRNA from 1 species
AGAAAAGGCAGACAGAAGAAGAUGACUAAGCAGACUUUCUGAGUCUUCCAGCCUUUCUCCUGUAUUGAAUGCUUUUUGCCUUGAACAUCAGACUCCAAGCUCUUCAGCUUUUGGACUCUUGGACUUACACCAGUGGUUUGCCAGGGACCCUCGGGCCUUUGGCCACAGACUGAAGGCUGCACUGUCAGUUUCCCUACUUUUGAGGUUUUGGGACUCAGACUGAUCUGCCACUGGCUUCCUUGGUCCUCAACUAGCAGACAGCCUAUCAUGGAACUUUACCUUGUGAUGGUGUAAGUCAAUUCUCCUUAUAAGCUCCCUUUCAUAUAUACAUAGAUCCUAUUAGUUCUGUCCCUCUGGAGAACCCUGACUAAUACAAUGGCUAUUAAAUUAAAAAACCCAAUGGUGCUUGUCUUCUUCUCAGGCAACGUGUACUCUCUUAUGGAGGGCCAGUGCUAUCUGAAUCAAAGUAUAAACUGUUCUCUCUCCUGUUCCCUCAGAAUAACGUAGAUGACAGGAAGAAAUAGCAUUUGAAAAAAAUUGCAUGCUUGAAAAAGUGGAACAAUACUAACCAGUGCCUAAGAGGGGCACAAAACUGUCUAUACUUUUUACACUUCAAUGGAUGUGAAAUAAUUACAUCUUAUGGAAUCAGAAUUUCAGAGUUCAAAGAAAUAUUAAUGGUCUUUCAGGCUACGAAUAAGAAAACUGAGAAGAAUACUAGAGAACAAAUACAAACGAGAUAAACACAUCAGAGAGGACAUCAGAAGAUGAUUACUACAAAUCAUUGGAACAUAAGAAGGAGUGAUAAUGGGUUUAGCAAAAAAGGAAGAAGCUUCAAUAUAAAAUACUCUU